GGAGGACAGGGAGGUGGGAGGGAAGAGAGAGAAGCAGGAAGGAACAGAGGAUUGGAGGCUGUGAGGAGGAGGGAGGUAAGAGAGAGAAGCAGGAAGGAACAGAGGAUUGGAGGCUGUGAGGAGGAGGGAGGUAAGAGAGAGAAGCAGGAAGGAACAGAGGAUUGGAGGCUGUGAGGAGGAGGGAGGUAAGAGAGAGAAGCAGGAAGGAACAGAGGAUUGGAGGCUGUGAGGAGGAGGGAGGUAAGAGAGAGAAGCAGGAAGGAACAGAGGAUUGGAGGCUGUGAGGAGGAGGGAGGUAAGAGAGAGAAGCAGGAAGGAACAGAGGAUUGGAGGCUGUGAGGAGGAGGGAGGUAAGAGAGAGAAGCAGGAAGGAACAGAGGAUUGGAGGCUGUGAAGAGGAAGGAGGUAAGAGAGAGAAGCAGGAAGGAACAGAGGAGGAUUGGAGGCUGUAAGGAGGGGGAGGGAUGAGAAGGAUUGGAGGCUGUGAGGAGGGGAGGGGGCAGGAAGGAAAAGAGGAGGAUUGAAGGCUGUGGGGAGGGGAGAGGGGGGGUCAGGAAGGAAAAGAGGAGGGUUGAAGGCUGUGAGGAAGGGAGAGGGGGGACAGGAAGGAAAAGAGGAGGAUUGAAGGCUGUGAGGACGCGAGACGGGGGUGCAGGAAGGAAAAGAGGAGGAUUGAAGGCUGUGGGGAGGGGAGAGGGGGGUCAGAAAGGAAAAGAGGAGGGUUGAAGGCUGUGAGGAAGGGAGAGGGGGGGCAGGAAGGAAAAGAGGAGGGUUGAAGGCUGUGAGGAAGGGAGAGGGGGGGC